rnacentral:lncRNA from 1 species
CUGGCGCUUGAAUUGAUCUGGACAUGGCGGCACCAUUUGUGGAGAGAAGCACUUGGGGAGGUCAAUGGCGAGAAAGGCCGUGGCGGUAGUGACGACGCAGGACAAAGGCGCAGGGAGAGGAGAGGCCAGCACCACUGCAUUCCCUGCUUGGGAGCCAGAAUCCGCACGCUCCCAGCCACCCCAUCGGGCCAUGUGGUCCUCCACUCUGCUCUAGCAGCGGCGGGAUCAGGCCCUGUGCGACUGUGCUCAUCCGGCGACCCCCAUCUCCUGCCUUUGCACCCCCCUCGUCCACUUCUCUCCUCUACGCCUAGGCUCCUCCCACCGCUGCUGCCGUCUCUCUAUCAGCGAGUAGGUGGAAGAGGAAGACGAGGUUGAGGCACCCUGUCCAGAUCUUGGCCCUGAAGAUUAAACACGAACAAAAAAGUAAAUCAACGGAAAGGAAAUGGAAGGAGUAGAUCCACGGAAGGAGGUCGGGCGGCUCACGGGGCACCAUCUAGGGUCGUCUCCGCCACCGCCUCUACGAGGCUCCCCACCGGCCGACGACCAGGUCGUCGCGUCACCCCUCUUUUCCUCGGCUAGCUCAUGAGACGAGGAGGGGCUUGGGACGGACCAGGAAGGGGGAGGAGGACAGAUGCAGGAGGGCACGGCUAGGGUUCGUGGGGUGGCGGCUGAGAGAAGGGAGGACCGGAGGCGGGAGAGGUGCGGGCGGGCGGCUGUGGGGAUUGGGGGGCCAAUGGGCUUUCCAGGAGGCUGCACCAAUCAGACCUUCACGCCGACGAACCCAGCCAAUA